rnacentral:rRNA from 1 species
AGAGUUUGAUCCUGGCUCAGAUUGAACGCUGGCGGCAUGCCUUACACAUGCAAGUCGAACGGCAGCAUGAUCUAGCUUGCUAGAUUGAUGGCGAGUGGCGAACGGGUGAGUAAUACAUCGGAACGUGCCCUGUAGUGGGGGAUAACUAGUCGAAAGAUUAGCUAAUACCGCAUACGACCUGAGGGUGAAAGUGGGGGACCGCAAGGCCUCAUGCUAUAGGAGCGGCCGAUGUCUGAUUAGCUAGUUGGUGGGGUAAAGGCCCACCAAGGCGACGAUCAGUAGCUGGUCUGAGAGGACGAUCAGCCACACUGGGACUGAGACACGGCCCAGACUCCUACGGGAGGCAGCAGUGGGGAAUUUUGGACAAUGGGCGAAAGCCUGAUCCAGCAAUGCCGCGUGUGUGAAGAAGGCCUUCGGGUUGUAAAGCACUUUUGUCCGGAAAGAAAUGGCUCUGGUUAAUACCUGGGGUCGAUGACGGUACCGGAAGAAUAAGGACCGGCUAACUACGUGCCAGCAGCCGCGGUAAU